UUUUUGUAAAACACAUGAUGUAGUAUUAGACACAGCAGGCAUAUUUAAAAUACCAGUUAAGUAUUUAGAAACAGUUUUAUUAAGUCAGAAUAAGGUUUAAGGCACAGUAACACAGUUAUUUUUCAAGUAAUAAGAUUCCUUUAAAAUUAAAAGGUCAUUGUUUUUCUAAAGACAAACUAACAACACACAUGAUUAAACAGUUUAAACACACUUGUCUUUGGAAAAGGGGGUUUCCAAAUUUGGUCUAAAACGUAAAAUAAAAUUUUCUUUGUUGAAUAUAGUGCAAAUGGUAGUACAGGUGGGUAGGUAUUUCACUAGUGUGAUAAAAUAUAUUUGGAAAAACAAAAUUUCACAAAAACAAUUUUAUUUUACUGACAAACCAACUUUUUUCAUAUGUCACCCAACAAAAUAAUUCACAAAAAAAAUAAAUUUAAAAAAAAUUUAGAAUUAUAUUUGCACUAUUCCUAAAACCAUGCAUAAGUUAACUGCUGGGGGGGGGGAUCAAUGUGCACAUCAUACAUUUUAUAUUUACAAGUAUUGUAAAAAAUAAUAAUUUAUUGGCUCACUACAUUAAAGAGUAUUUCAUUAAUGAAAUAAUCAUUAACUAUAGUGAAGUUGAAAAAAAACUAUUUAAGAUGGAGCUUCCACCAUCAUGUUCUAUCAAGUAUUCAGUCUUCCAGCUUUGGUCUAUGGAGAGUCCGGCCGUCUUGCUGGUUCCUCUAAACUAAAAGAUCUGUUCUAUACACUCACGCAUGCCCAAGAACACAGUAGUGACGCUGGCAAAUGAAGCACAAGGAGCUGAACACGGAAGAUGGCAGCACCAGUGAAGGAAAGCUUUGGGUAAGUAACUUUAAUUGUAAAGAACACAAUUUGAAUAAGAGAAAAGCAAAUACUGAUGAUAUAUUUAGUAAGAUGAAUAUGAAAAAAUUACAUAUAACUGUAAACUAAGUUAAAAAAAAAAUACAGAUUACAAGAAUAACAAGAAUUUUCACAGUUAACCUGUUGCCUCUCCUUCUUCCAAAGUUAUUCACUAACCUCAGAAUUGAAGCUUCUAAAAAUUUGAAUUGCACAUUAAGGCCCAAAUAGCAGAUUUGAAAGAAGCUUCUAAAAUUGUCAGUUUCCCUCUAUUCUUUGACCAUUUGUAGUUACAAUUCGGAGCUUAGUGAAUAAUGGUCAGUUUCAGUUAUAGGCUCUGAUCACACAGUCUCUAAAUGUCAUGCGUGCAAUGAAGGGACUUCGUUUACCAUUAACAUUCACAGUGUGCUAGCUGACAGUCAAAAAAGAACCAGCUACAGUUUAAAACGAUCAGUAAUAUAUAGCUUACAUGGCUAAGGAUCUUUUCUACAUGGUGAGUGAUAUCACUUCUUCUGAAAACAGUAAUUUGAGCACAAUGCAUCUUUUUUUUUUUUUUUCAAAAAGCCUCACAUAUGCAAGCUAAAAGCCUUCACAAAACGAAAAUCAUUUAAGUUUUUUUUAUGCUUAAUUUAAUAAAUGGCAGUAAUUACAAUAUCUCUCUCAAACAUCACAAUCAGCAGGUUCUCCGUUAUAUGUUCUACUAAUUGAGGGGUUCUGAGAGAAGAACCUCAAGACAGGUCUAGUUAAAGGGGCACUCCAGACCCCUAUAGCAUUUUAGUUUGCUGAAAAGCUGUGUGUGUGAAAAGUGUGUCCUCUUUUGAAAUUAAAAAUGUUAUAAAUUAACCUGGCAACACCCCCUGGCUUUUCAAGCAGACAAUAGAUAAAGUUACUUCCUGGUUUGGGUAGCUCAGUGGAGCUUCUCAGGCGUGAAUCAAUUCAGGUGGUCUUUUUUUCCCCUUUUUCAUUACUUUUGCAACAUUUCAACAUUACAUUUUUCUUUUGUUACAGAUUCCUUGUGUUUCCUUUUUCUAAUAGCACAUUCAGUUAAUUAAUAUUUAUGCGUUUGUUUUGCAUAAAAAAAGUAUUGUAUUUUCUGGGGUUCUCUUACCGCUUGUAUUUUGGUGUACAAAACAAGGCAGAACAUGCACAGAAUAUUUGCACAACCCCCUCCCCCCCCAAAAAAAAAUAUACAAUGUAAAAUGGCAACAUAUUUUCGAAUAUGUUUAAGAUAAAAAGGAACAGAUUAUGAACACUGUAAAAGUGUAAAUUACCCUAACUGACUUUGAAGGUUAUAAAUUUAGAAACUCUGCUAGCACAUUUUAUAUAUAAAUUAAAACAUUUAAUUGUUCUAUACUCCUAUAUUAAAGCAAUACUCAAAUUAAAAAAAAAAUUAAAAAAAUUUCUUCAAGUUGGAGCACUCCUGUUUAGUUUCGAUUAUUCCCCCCAUUUCAGUACGGAAAAUAUUAAAACUUGCAAUUAAACUCAUCUUUAUUGCAGGGCAGGGAUCUGUCUCCUAGUCUGUCAGCUCUGACCUACCUCCUGUGAAAUCAUCACUACUGAUCAUAUCCAAUAAAAGGCAUCUCAUAUACAAAGCACACAGCACAUGUGCAGCAAUAGCCAAUCUGUCAGCCAUGUAUAUUCUAUGACAAGUGGACUCCAGACACUAUAACCACUACAAUGCUAUUAAGUACCGUAUUUAUCGGCGUAUAACACGCACUUUUUCUCCCUGAAAAUAGGGGAGAAAUUGUGGGUGCGUGUUAU